UUGCUAGUAUUAUGGUUUUCCAUUAAGAGGUUCUCUUCUUAUUGGCAACAAACAACUUUUAUAUUGAUGUUUUAAAAGUUCCAUCUUUUAAUUUAAUGUGGUUCUUGAGGUUAAGAGGUUUCUUUUUUUCAAUGUGGUUCCAUCUUGAUGUUUUCCAUUAAGAGAACCCUCUUAAUGGUAACUAAAGCUUUUGAUUGGCCUUGUUAUUGUGUACUUCACAUAUCAAAUACAACAGAAGUGAAACGCAACAAUCUGUUUUUGAAAGAAAUAAAGCUUUAUUUUUGU
rnacentral:lncRNA from 1 species